rnacentral:rRNA from 1 species
AGGUGUGGAUAGGGGAGAAAUUCCAAUCGAACCCGGAGAUAGCUGGUUCUCCUCGAAAUAGCUUUAGGGCUAGCCUCAUAUUAGUCUUGCGGAGGUAGAGCACUGAAUUUCCUAGGGGGCGUCAAAGCCUACCGAAGAAUAUCAAACUCCGAAUGCCGUGUAGAUGUUGUAUGGGAGUCAGACUGUACGAGAUAAGUUGGACAGUCAAAAGGGAAAGAGCCCAGACCUGCAGCUAAGGCCCCAAAAUGUGUGUUAAGUGGAAAAGGAUGUGGGAUUUCAAAGACAACUAGGAUGUUGGCUUAGAAGCAGCCAUACAUUUAAAGAGUGCGUAAUAGCUCACUAGUCGAGAAAACCUGCGCCGAAAAUGUAACGGGGCUAAAACACGACACCGAAGCUACGGAUUCCUUACAAAGUAAGGAGUGGUAGAGGAGCAUCCUGCAAGGACGAAGCCAAAGUGAGAGCGAUGGUGGACGAAACAGGAGAGAGAAUGCCGGAAUGAGUAGCGAGAUACAUGUGAGAAACAUGUAGGCCGAAUAUCUAAGGAUUCCUGGGUAAAGCUAAUCUUCCCAGGGUUAGUCGGGGCCUAAGGCGAGGACGAAAGUCGUAGUCGAUGGAUAACAGGUUGAUAUUCCUGUACUACACAUAAUCAGAACUGUGGGGACGCAGAAGGAUAGGGAAACCGGGGAAUGGAAAGACCCGGUCAAGCGUAAAGCUGUGGGAGAUAGGCAAAUCCGUCUUCUGUAAGUGAAACGUGAUGAGGACUGAAAAAAAGUAAGGAAGUUUCCGAAUCCACACUGCCGAGAAAAGCCGCUAUUGCGUUAUGUGUACCCGUACCGUAAACCGACACAGGUAGAUGAGGAGAAAAUCCACAGGCCGACGGGAGAAGUGUUGUUAAGGAACUCGGCAAAAUGACCCCGUAACUUCGGGAUAAGGGGAGCCUCGCAAGAGGCCGCAGAAAAGAGGCACAAGCAACUGUUUAGCAAAAACACAGGUCUAUGCGAAACCGUAAGGUGAAGUAUAUGGGCUGACGCCUGCCCGGUGCUGGAAGGUUAAAAGGAGAGGUCAGCGCAAGCGAAGCUUUGAAUUCAAGCCCCAGUAAACGGCGGCCGUAACUAUAACGGUCCUAAGGUAGCGAAAUUCCUUGUCAGGUAAGUUCUGACCCGCACGAAUGG